rnacentral:misc_RNA from 1 species
UACGGAGGAUCCAAGCGUUAUCCGGAAUCAUUGGGUUUAAAGGGUCCGUAGGCGGGUUAAUAAGUCAGUGGUGAAAGUCUGCAGCUCAACUGUAGAAUUGCCAUUGAUACUGUUAACCUUGAGUAAUUAUGAAGUGGUUAGAAUAUGUAGUGUAGCGGUGAAAUGCAUAGAUAUUACAUAGAAUACCGAUUGCGAAGGCAGAUCACUAAUAAUGUACUGACGCUGAUGGACGAAAGCUAGGGUCUCGAACCGG